rnacentral:lncRNA from 1 species
UUAUCAACAGUUUUGAUGUGUGAAGUAGCAAUCACAAAACAUUAAUAUGUGUGAUAUAGUAAGGUCAUUGUUUUGUGAUAUAUCAACAUCAUCACAAAAACAUUGGAGUUUAUGUUGUCAUUGUGGGAUAACAAUGAAUAUCAUCACAAAUUUUCUGACAUACAAUGUAACAAUGGAUUAUAUCCAGUGGUGGGCUGAGUCUAAAAAUAUUGCUUGCCAGGAGACAAAGAAGGACCAUACGGCCUACUUGCCAUCAGGCAAGCUGACACCCUGGUCAGUUUACCAAUGAUAAUGUCCCAGAAUGUCAUCAAUGUGUGAUAUCAAAACAGUUCCAAUGUAUUUAAAGUAACAGUCAGUGAUGCCUUAGAAUGCCAGAUCACAAUAGUUCAAACUUACUAAAAAGUUCAUAACUCGAG